UACGUAGGGUGCGAGCGUUAAUCGGAAUUACUGGGCGUAAAGCGUGCGCAGGCGGCGCCGCAAGUCAGGCGUCAAAUCCCCAAGCUUAACUUGGGAAUGGCGCUUGAAACUACGGUGCUGGAGUGUGGCAGAGGGAGGUGGAAUUCCACGUGUAGCGGUGAAAUGCGUAGAGAUGUGGAGGAACACCGAUGGCGAAGGCAGCCUCCUGGGCCAACACUGACGCUCAUGCACGAAAGCGUGGGGAGCAAACAGG
rnacentral:rRNA from 1 species